rnacentral:rRNA from 1 species
AUUGAACGCUGGCGGCAGGCUUAACACAUGCAAGUCGAACGCGUGGCGGACGGGUGAGUAAUGCUUGGGCAUCUGGCUUAUGGAGGGGGAUAACGACGGGAAACUGUCGCUAAUACCGCGUACCAUAGGAUGAGCCCAAGUGGGAUUAGGUAGUUGGUGGGGUAAUGGCCUACCAAGCCCACGAUCUCUAGCUGGUCUGAGAGGCUGACCAGCAACACCGGAACUGAGACACGGCCCGGACUCCUACGGUAGGAAGAGGUGGGGAAGAGUGCGCAAUGGGGGCAACCUGACGCAGCCAUGCGGCGGGAAUGAAGAAGGCCUUCGGGUUGUAAAGUUCUUUCGGUGACGAGGCGUUAAUCACAGAAGAAGCACCGGCUAACUCCGUGCCAGCAGCCGCGGUAAUUC